ensembl:misc_RNA Metazoa_SRP Metazoan signal recognition particle RNA
GCCGGGUACAGUGGUGCACGCCUGUCGUCCCAGCUACUCGGGAGGCAGAGACAAGAGGAUUGAUUGAGUCCAGGAGUUCUGGGCUGUAGUGAGCUAUGCAGAUCGGGUUUCUGCACUAAGUUCGGCAUCAAGGUGGUGACCUCCCAGGAAUGGGGAAGAGGUGAGGUGGGGGGGCACCAGGUUGCCUAAGGAGGAGUGAACCAGCCCAGGUCAGAAAGGAGCAGAUCAAAACUCUCAUGCUGAUCAGGAGAGGAAGGCAGGCAGAUCACAAAUUGAACUCAGGGUCAGACUGGGCGGCAUAGUGAGACAU